rnacentral:rRNA from 1 species
GUGGGGAAUCUUAGACAAUGGGGGAAACCCUGAUCUAGCCAUGCCGCGUGAGCGAUGAAGGCCUUAGGGUUGUAAAGCUCUUUCAGCUGGGAAGAUAAUGACGGUACCAGCAGAAGAAGCCCCGGCUAACUCCGUGCCAGCAGCCGCGGUAAUACGGAGGGGGCUAGCGAUGUUCGGAAUUACUGGGCGUAAAGCGCGCGUAGGCGGACCAGAAAGUUGGAGGUGAAAUCCCAGGGCUCAACCUUGGAACUGCCUUCAAAACUCCUGGUCUGGAGUUCGAGAGAGGUGAGUGGAAUUCCGAGUGUAGAGGUGAAAUUCGUAGAUAUUCGGAGGAACACCAGUGGCGAACGCGACUUUCUGGACGAAAACUGACGCUGAGGCGCGAAAGCCAGGGGAGCGAACGGGAUUAGAAACCCUGGUAGUCC